GACGAACGCUGGCGGCGUGCUUAACACAUGCAAGUCGAACGGUAAGGCCCUUCGGGGUACACGAGUGGCGAACGGGUGAGUAACACGUGGGUGAUCUGCCCUGCACUUCGGGAUAAGCCUGGGAAACUGGGUCUAAUACCGGAUAGGACCAUUGCCUGCAUGGGUGGUGGUGGAAAGCUUUUGCGGUGUGGGAUGGGCCCGCGGCCUAUCAGCUUGUUGGUGGAGUGAUGGCCUACCAAGGCGACGAAGGGUAGCCGGCCUGAGAGGGUGACCGGCCACACUGGGACUGAGAUACGGCCCAGACUCCUACGGGAGGCAGCAGUGGGGAAUAUUGCACAAUUGGCGCAAGCCUGAUGCAGCGACGCCGCGUGAGGGAUGACGGCCUUCGGGUUGUAAUCCUCUUUCAGCACCGACGAAGCGCAAGUGACGGUAGGUGCAGAAGAAGGACCGGCCAACUACGUGCCAGCCGCCGCGGUAA
rnacentral:rRNA from 1 species